CUUCCUUCAUCACACAUUAUUUUACUCUCAACACUUUGGAAAUGUAAAAAUCAUUUUCUACUUGCAAUUACUUUUAGUUGUUCUAGAGAUCAGAUGUUGUUGUUUUUCUAAACCAACAAACAAACAAGGUUUCUAAUGAUGAUGUUCAGAAAGGCUCAUUUCCAGGAUCAGAAUAAAUGAGAUCAUUCAUCAUGUUUAAUGUCAGAACAAAGUCAAUUUUUACAAACAAAUAAACUUUGAAAGAAUGAACAAAGUAUUUUCUUUUGUCUUCAUUUCAGUGUUUCUGUAAAUCUGAUGGAGAAAAUGUCAAACUAAUAUGAGGGAAUAACUGAGGCAGUUUUCCUGGAACAGCAGAAAGUAAUAAAUAAAGCAUUUUUUCUUCUAGAAUUGUUUGCUUUAUUCUACAUCUAACAUGAAGAAGUCAGAGUGUUUGGAAACUUAAAUCUCACAUCUACAAGUUCUACUUCCAGCCUGAAAGCUGAUGUGAACACUGUUUGGAAGCUGGAAAGUCUUCUCUCCCAUCUUUCCCAGGUUCCCUGAAUGCAGCAUCAGUGUUGCAGGUUCACAACUGGAAUGUGAAAACUGAUGCACACCACAAGAGGGAGCCUUCAUCCUGCUAACAGGGAUGAAGAGGAGGAUGUGUGGGGACCUGUUGCUGCAGACGUUACUGAAGAGAAUGAAAAUCUCUGUCAGACUGAAGAGAAACUUUCCUGGUCAGACAUUUCUUAUUUCAUAAUAAUCAGUGAGCUGCAUCCUUUUCU